CCUGAGACCUUAAACUUUAUUCGAGAUUUUAGACUCUUAAGGGUCUAAAUAGACCUAAACCUUACUCGACUUGGACCCUUAUUACACCUUAUGUGUCUCCUACUACACCUUCCACCAGAUACCCCUAUAGAUCCUAGACUUUGAGAUCUUGUAAACAUAGCUAACUCUAUCCAUUUCUACGACCUUAUUUGAGACUUUAGACUCCUGUCCUAAAAUUACGACUACAUUGUAGCUUCACCUAAAUAGAUUUAGACCAUGACCUUUUAUCUUAGAGCUGCUUGACAUUUGUGCUACACAAAAUUAUAUACCUUUGAAGGAAAACUGCACAUCAAUGCCUAAAGUUAUGAAUCUAAGCUAGAAAAAAUAAUUUUGAUUAAAUAGUUGAG
rnacentral:lncRNA from 1 species